rnacentral:rRNA from 1 species
AUUGAACGCUGGCGGCAGGCCUAACACAUGCAAGUCGAGCGGAGCGGCGGACGGGUGCGUAAUGACUAGGAAUCUGCCUGGUAGUGGGGGAUCAAGUCCGGAAACGGGCGCUAAUACCGCAUACUAUCAAAUGAGCCUAGGGCGUAUUAGCUAGUUGGUGGGGUAAAGGCCUACCAAGGCGAAGAUCCGUAACUGGUCCGAGAGGAGGAUCAGUCACACUGGAACUUAAACACGGUCCAGACUCCUACGGGAGGCAGCAGUGGGGAAUAUUUGGCAAUGGGCGAAAGCCUGAUCCAGCCAUGCCGCGUGUUUGAAGAAGGUCUUCGGAUUGUAAAGCUCUUUAAGUUGGGAGGCGUUACCAACAGAAGAAGCACCGGCUAACUGCGUGCCAGCAGCCGCGGUAAUAC